UACGUAGGUCCCGAGCGUUGUCCGGAUUUAUUGGGCGUAAAGCGAGCGCAGGUGGUUUAUUAAGUCUGGUGUAAAAGGCAGUGGCUCAACCAGUGUAUGCAUUGGAAACUGGUAGACUUGAGUGCAGGAGAGGAGAGUGGAAUUCCAUGUGUAGCGGUGAAAUGCGUAGAUAUAUGGAGGAACACCGGUGGCGAAAGCGGCUCUCUGGCCUGUAACUGACACUGAGGCUCGAAAGCGUGGGGAGCAAACAGG
rnacentral:rRNA from 1 species